rnacentral:rRNA from 1 species
GUCUAGAGGCUUCGGCAAUGGGGGAAACCCUGACCGAGCGACGCCGCGUGUGGGAUGAAGGCGUUUACGUCGUAAACCACUGUUGGGAGGGAAGAAUGCCCGGAUGGCGAAUCCGGGAGUGACGGUACCUCCAUAGAAAGCCCCGGCUAACUCCGUGCCAGCAGCCGCGGUAAUACGGGGGGGGCAAGCGUUGUUCGGAUUUACUGGGCGUAAAGGGAGCGUAGGCUGUCGGUUAAGUCCGGUGUGAAAUCUUCACCGCUCAACGGGAAGUUGUCACCGGAUACUGGCCGGCUAGAGUGAGGUAGAGGCAAGCGGAAUUCCUGGUGUAGCGGUGGAAUGUGUAGAUAUCAGGAAGAACAUCUGUGGCGAAGGCGGCUUGCUGGGCCUUUACUGACGCUGAGGCUCGAAAGCGUGGGGAGCAAACGGGAUUAGAUACCCGAGUAGUCC